AUAUUAACAAUUACUUAAUUCAUCUGAAAACAUUUUGUAUAUAUUAGACCCUACAGUAAGACAACUGAAGGGUGUAAUGGAGGAUUUGUGGAGAUAUUUGGAUUGCUCUACUCAUUCAAGACAAUAUAACCUUGUUGUGGAAAUGUCGAAGGGCACACUUUUAAAUGCAAAUAAAAUGUAUACUAUAAUAAAUAUAUAAAUAAAUUGUUCACUUUAAGAUGACUGCCUGUAUAUACUAAAUUAUAUUCUAACACUUUACUCAAGUUUAUUAUGAUUUUAUCAAUCAGUCAGGAGAAAUAUCAUAAGAGGUUUUAAUGGAGGAUUUGUGGAAAUAUUUGGAUUAAUCUACUCAAUCAGAACAAUAUAACCUUGUUAUAAAGAUGACGAAGGGCACACAUUGCAAUCGCAAAUAAAAUGGAUACUAAGUUCACUUAAAGAUGACUGCCUGUAUAUAAUGGAUUAUAUUCUAAUACUUACAGAUUCUUUCCUCAAUUUCAAAAUUUUAGUUUGGUAUGAUAAUUUCCAGCAAUUUGCCUCAAGGCACGAUGCCAUACACCACUAAUUUUUAAUGAAAACUGAUAUCACUAAUGCUAGAUAUCAGUUGUGCCUAGUGUAGGAUUAGAACUCGAACCUUUAUGGUUGCAAGGCCAUGGUUCUUACUGUAAUAAUUUAUUUCAAAUAUUCAUCAUUUUACUAGAAAGAUUUUAUCUUGUGCAGCAACAAACUUUAUUUUUAAAUAAAGAUAAUGUGAAAGCAUUUUGGACAAAUUCAUAAAGUUUCAGCAUUUUAUUUAAAAUACAAAAGAUUUACAUCCCAAAUUAUCUGAUAGAAAUCUUCACGGGCAUAAAUUUACAGAAAAUUUGUUGAAUCUUAUAUUUAAUUGAAGAUAAAGGCAAAAUCUCUACAAAUUAUUAUAAAAGUAUAUUAUGAGAG